UAGGGAAUCUUCGGCAAUGGGCGAAAGCCUGACCGAGCAACGCCGCGUGAAUGAUGAAGGCCUUCGGGUUGUAAAAUUCUGUUAUAAGGGAAGAAUGGCUCUAGUAGGAAAUGGCUAGAGUGUGACGGUACCUUAUGAGAAAGCCACGGCUAACUACGUGCCAGCAGCCGCGGUAAUACGUAGGUGGCGAGCGUUAUCCGGAAUUAUUGGGCGUAAAGAGCGCGCAGGUGGUUGAUUAAGUCUGAUGUGAAAGCCCACGGCUUAACCGUGGAGGGUCAUUGGAAACUGGUCAACUUGAGUGCAGAAGAGGGAAGUGGAAUUCCAUGUGUAGCGGUGAAAUGCGUAGAGAUAUGGAGGAACACCAGUGGCGAAGGCGGCUUCCUGGUCUGUAACUGACACUGAGGCGCGAAAGCGUGGGGAGCAAACA
rnacentral:rRNA from 1 species